rnacentral:lncRNA from 1 species
GCCUUCUCCAGUCUGCGGUGCUGGCUGUGGCUUACUUUUCUCUCCUCAAAGCGACAGUUAGGAAGUGGAGAGGCAUUCUAUGAGUGUUCUCGUCGGUUCUGUUUUGGAAGCUUCAGAAUCUUCUCGGGUUGGCUCAGAUUGCUGCAAAAUAAAAGCUGUACUUCUUGGGGCCAGAGAGGCACCGUCCUUCGGGGGACUCUGGCCCGCGUCCUGGCUCCGCCCCGUACUGGCCUCGGACCUCGGGGAGCGUUUUUAUCUGAAGUUUCCACGUCGGAAAGGGAUCGUAGUCUACCGAGAGCUGUUCCGAGCCCAGAGGAGAAAUUGUGUGGUGCUAAAUAGCUAUUCAUCUCCCUUAUACCGGAAAGCGUUGUAAUGAUAAGCCGACCUAACCUGUUGGGGAUUUUUUCUGGAAACCUUUUAAGACAGUUCAUGUUAUUGAGUUCUGAAUAUUAGGCUAUAUUGCAAGGGGCUUUUUAAAAUCCACGUAGCAACCCUAUGAAAUCAGAAAUUGCCCUCGUUUUACAAAUGAGUUAAAUGAGACCAAGUAAAAGGUUAAACAGCUUGUCUAGUAAGCUGGGAUUUGUUCCCAGGCGGUCUAGCUCCAGAUUGCAUGCUUUUAAAUACUAGGCUUCAUGCAUAGAAUCUAGUAUUAUUAGCCGAUCCUAUUAUUAGUAUGUAUUGUUCUUUAGGAAGAAAAAACGUGUCAGGAUUGCUCACGUUUCCAAGCACGUUGAUACUUAAGAGUUAGGAAGGGCUUAACUCCGAAUGGGUAUGGUGUUACCCUAAGUGAGGUUCAAAAAGAUGGUGUGGGCAACAAUGCUAUUUUGGAAUGGCUUGAUCCUUUUGGGCUUCCAUAACAAAAUAUCCUAGACUGGGUAGUUUAUGAACCACAGAAGUUUAUUCUUCACAUUUCUGAAGGCUGGAAUGUCACAGAAUAAGGUGUGUCUAGGGAGGGGUGCUUUCUCUUUAGUGGAUAGCACCUUCUGGCUCUGUCCUCGCAUGGUGGAGAGGCAGAGGCCCUCGCUUGGGCCUAUUUUAUAAGGACCUUAAUCCCAUUCCUCACUUCCCAAGAUGCCACUUGCUAAAACCGUCAGUUCGGGAGUUAGGAUUUCAAAAUGUGCAUUUUGAGGGACACAUUUAGACCAUAGCGUAGGUCAUGUUUUUAAAGUUGCUUUCUUGGCCCUGGAAUGGCAAUGCAGUCAUCUGAAUUGGUCUUAACCUACCAGGAAUGGGCUUAUAUUUUGAAAAUAUUUCUCGAUAAGGGAGUAAAAUAAGUUGUAUGGGUUUUUUGUUUAAGAAAGGAUUCCUUUGUUUACUCUGGUAUGCUUAUCCACUUCUGUGAUGUCAACCAUGGGUAGUGACCUAACAUUAAUUUAAUUCAACAGAUAUCUUUGUCUGCCUUGAUUCCUGCAUCCCCUGGGCUCCACAGCUAUUCACUUGUAUUGAUUCUGUUAACUCUUACACAUUAACUUUGAGCUGUGUCUCCUUCCUUUUAUCAUUUUGUGAGUAAAGAAUUUUAAUUUGCCAACAAAUCCUAAUGUGGACUUUGUCACGUUGUGAAAUAAAGUGAUUUUUUGGUAUGGAAAUAUGUGUUAAGACAGACUGUUAGUCUUUGCACUUUAACAACUAGCUGAUACACUUACGUCACAUGGAUGAAAACAUACACAAGUGCACUGUUGUUGGAUAAGGACUCCUGGGUGGUUAGAAGAAUGUGCAGAUCUAACUACUCCCAUUAAGACCAUUGAUUAAAAUGAAAAAUGCUUAUAAAGGUGGAGAUCUCUCAGUUUUAGUCUUAUUGCGUGCCAGAAGCACUAAGGAAUUGCUGCUAAAUAUAAGACAAAUGGACUUGAGGAAAUCACUGAUGACUAACUUGAAACUCUGCCUCCUGAGAUCACACAGGUGAGUGGAAAAAACCAAGGCACAAAGCCAGUGAAGCCCCCUAAUUUGGAGAUGUGAGGGGUAGAAACAGAGAGUAUAGGGUAGAUGCAGUGUACAGAAAACACUGUUCUUGCUUCAUCACCAUGGAUUAAAAUCGUUUGAAAGCUUCAACGCUAGCGGGCAGUGUUUCAAGCAGAAAUCUGGCAGCUAGUGGAGUCUGAGUCCUUAUAUGGAAGGCAUCAUCAGUACCAGCAAGGACACACAUACAGCCACAAAGCAAGACCUAGGAGAAAUAUUUGGUGCUCUACUCUCCUAGGGAACUGGAAGGAACCUGCUCUCUCCUGGGUAUACUUUUCUAAUUUUAGAGUGCUAAAGAAGCUCUUCUCACAGGGACCCGAGUGAAUCCUUUCUCCUUGGAACAAAGGACAAGAAAAAAAGAAAGGACUUUACCGCAGAAAUGAUGAAGAUCAUGUCUCCAAGUCUUUUCUGCCGUUGCCAGUAUUCUCUCCCAAUCUCCUGUGGGCAACUUCUUCGGGAAAACACUCAUGCAAUUUCAUAAGGACAAGCGAAAAUAUGAAGAAGCUGGAUCUUGGAACUAGGCUUUGAUCACAGAGCGGAGCUGAGAUGAAAGUCCAUCCACUCAUUCAACAAAUAAUUGAGUACUUACAAAAAUUUCUGCUGUAUGGAGCUUAUAUAGUAGUGAAUAUCAAUUCUUAUUUUAUGGAUUAUAAAACAGAACUUUUUGCAACAAUUUUACACUACCCUAGGGGUACCUAUGAGUCUUCAUGCCUCAAGUAAUUGUCCUGUCCAUGUGACUAUGGAAGCCCUGAAAUCUUUGAAACCCCAGAUGACCCAUUUCACCAGACGCUUGGACAUUCUCCGUCGAGUUUGGAUUUAUAAUGCCACAUUUUGUUGGAACUCAGAGUUAUGAGUGGCCCUCGCCAUACCUACACUUUCUGACUGAGCUCCUCUCUACCCUGAAUACAAGAGACCCUAAUAGGCAGGAAUAUCAUCACCCCUCUUCAGCCUGAAGAUGUUACAGAAGAUGGAUAUUUGUCCGUUUACAACCCUUAAGAUUAAGGGUUCCCCUGUAAAAGGGAGGGGGAAAAUAUGUCAGAGAUGUUUGAACCAGAGCAACUUCGUCCUGAAUAGUGGCUCGGUAAAGUGAGGCUGACACCUAUGGACUGCAUUCCCAGGAGGUUAGGCAUUCUUAGUUACGGGAUGAAAUAGGAGUUUGGCACAAGAUGGGUCAUAAAGACCUUGCUGAUAAAAGGAUGUGGUACAGAAGCUGGCCAAAACUCACCAAAAUCAAGAUGUGAUGAAAGUGACUUCUGGUAGUCCUCACUCCUCAUUACACUAAUUAUAAUGCAUUAGCAUGCUAAAAGACACGUUCACCAGCACCAUUAUGGUUUACAAAUGCCAUGGCAAUAUCAGCAAGUUACCCUAUAUGGUCUUAAAAGGGGAGGAACCCUCAGUUCUGGGAAUUGCCCACCACUUUCCCAGGAAACUCAUGAAUAAUCCACCCUUUAUUUAGCAAAUAAUCAAGAAAUAACUAUAAGUAUAAUCAGUUGAGCAGCCCAUGCCACUGCUCUGCCUGUGGAAUAGCCACUCUUUUAUUCCUUUACUUUUUUAAUAAACUUGUUUUCACUUUAC